rnacentral:rRNA from 1 species
UAGGGAAUCUUCCGCAAUGGACGCAAGUCUGACGGAGCAACGCCGCGUGAGUGAAGACGGAUUUCGGUUCGUAAAACUCUGUUGUUAGAGAAGAACAGCGCAUAGAGUAACUGUUAUGCGUGUGACGGUAUCUAACCAGAAAGCCACGGCUAACUACGUGCCAGCAGCCGCGGUAAUACGUAGGUGGCAAGCGUUGUCCGGAUUUAUUGGGCGUAAAGCGAGCGCAGGCGGUCAAUUAAGUCUGAUGUGAAAGCCCCCGGCUCAACCGGGGAGGGUCAUUGGAAACUGGUUGACUUGAGUGCAGAAGAGGAGAGUGGAAUUCCAUGUGUAGCGGUGAAAUGCGUAGAUAUAUGGAGGAACACCAGUGGCGAAGGCGACUCUCUGGUCUGUAACUGACGCUGAGGCUCGAAAGCGUGGGUAGCAAACAGG